rnacentral:tRNA from 1 species
GCUAUUUUGGCAGAUAAGUGCAUUGGAUUUAGAAUCUAUUAAUGUAAAUUUUAUUUACAAAUAGUA